GACUUCUGGGAGGAUAUGUUUUUCUUUACAUGCCAAGAAGUCGUGUUCCCAUCUUCCUGCCAUGAAUGAGGUUGAGUGCUGAUGUGAUGCUUGGAGCUGUGGCAGACAUCCUGCAACCGUAAAGGAGCUCCUUGCUCAGUUCUACCGGGAGCCCUUGGGGCUAAAGACCUAGAUGACACCUUCCCACCCAUUCACGUGACUGUGGGCCAAGAGCCAGCCUUGCAAAAUGCUUUGAAAUCCGCUGAGGUGCACUCUCCAGAAAUAUCAGCUGUUCACCAGGUCUGCUAAAGGAUGUGGCCAGAGCAUCUGGUGUUUCCCGUGGGGAGAGUCUUCUGUAGGGUCCUUCUCCGACCUGAUCUCCCAUCUGGUACGGUGUGGCUUCUGGCUCCUAAUGCAGUCCCCCCAGGAGAAAGGAGGGAUAAGAGGAGGCAAUUUGCCUGUGCCUUCAUCUGUAUCUUUGUGAAGGUCUUCUACUCACAGAGGAAAGGAAUUGCUUUAGCUCCAUCACUGGAAUUGGAAGCUCCAAUACUUUGGCCACCAGAUGCAAAGAGCUGACUCAUUGGAAAUGACCCUGAAGCUGGGAAAGACUGAGGGCAGGAGGAGAAGCGGGUGGCAGAGGAUAAGAUGAUUGGAUGGUAUCACUGACUCAAUGGACAUGAGUUUGAACGAACUCUGGGAGAUAGUGAAGGGAAGCCUGGUGUGCUUUAGUCCAUGGGGUCGCAAAGAUUCAGAAAUGAGUUAGUGACUGAACAAUAACAACAAUCAUGGGGAUUAGAAAGGUUAAUAUUUUAUCACACCAAUACACUGAUCCCUGACUAACUUGCUACUUGAGGAGGAGGUCUCAUGUCUAUUGGUCUCAGUUUCUCAUUUAAACUAGAAUUGACUGGAUGGUUGAGCACAGUUCCUGCAUAUUUAUCCUCAUAGUCUCUGAAUCAAAAGUUUUGGUUAGGUCCUUACUCACCUUGGACAUAUAUGGACCCCAUUCAUCCACCUCACUCCCUGGUCUUAACUUCCUGAGAGAAAAUACUCAGGAAAUGCUCCAUCCAUGAGCAUGCU
ensembl:lncRNA